AUUGAACGCUGGCGGCAGGCCUAACACAUGCAAGUCGAGCGGAUGAAGGGAGCUUGCUCCUGGAUUCAGCGGCGGACGGGUGAGUAAUGCCUAGGAAUCUGCCUGGUAGUGGGGGAUAACGUCCGGAAACGGGCGCUAAUACCGCAUACGUCCUGAGGGAGAAAGUGGGGGAUCUUCGGACCUCACGCUAUCAGAUGAGCCUAGGUCGGAUUAGCUAGUUGGUGGGGUAAAGGCCUACCAAGGCGACGAUCCGUAACUGGUCUGAGAGGAUGAUCAGUCACACUGGAACUGAGACAGGGUCAAUACUCCUACGGGAGGCAGCAGUGGGGAAUAUUGGACAAUGGGCGAAAGCCUGAUCCAGCCAUGCCGCGUGUGUGAAGAAGGUCUUCGGAUUGUAAAGCACUUUAAGUUGGGAGGAAGGGCAGUAAGUUAAUACCUUGCUGUUUUGACGUUACCAACAGAAUAAGCACCGGCUAACUUCGUG
rnacentral:rRNA from 1 species